rnacentral:rRNA from 1 species
UGCAAGUCGAGCGAGAAGGUCUUUUUGCUUGCAUUAAGACUGGACAGCGGCGAAAGGGUGAGUAACGCGUAGUUACCUGCCCCGGGGUCCGGAAUAGCCACGGGAAACUGUGGGUAAUGCCGGAUAACAUCUACGGAUCAAAGGUGUGAUUCCGCCCCGGGAGGGGACUGCGUCCUACUAGCUUGUUGGUGGGGUAACGGCCUACCAAGGCUCCGAUGGGUAGCGGGCGUGAGAGCGUGGCCCGUCACACUGGGACUGAGACACUGCCCAGACACCUACGGGUGGCUGCAGUCGAGAAUCUUCGGCAAUGGACGAAAGUCUGACCGAGCAAUGCCGCGUGCGGGAUGAAGGCCCUCGGGUUGUAAACCGCGAAAGUGAGGAGGAAGGGCCCGUGAAGAGCGGGUCUUGACCGAUCCACAGUAAGGACGGGCUAAGUUCGUGCCAGCAGCCGCGGUAACACGAACCGUCCAAACGUUAUUCGGAAUCAUUGGGCUUAAAGGGUGCGUAGGCGGCGCAUUAAGUCGGGUGUGAAAUCCCUCGGCUCAACCGAGGAACUGCGCCCGAUACUGAUGUGCUUGAGGGAGACAGGGGUGAGCGGAACUGAUGGUGGAGCGGUGAAAUGCGUUGAUAUCAUCAGGAACACCGGUGGCGAAAGCGGCUCACUGGGUCUCUUCUGACGCUGAGGCACGAAAGCUAGGGUAGCGAACGGGAUUAGAUACCCCGGUAGUCCUAGCCGUAAACGUUGAGCACUUGGUCGAGG